CCUACGGGAGGCAGCAGUGGGGAAUAUUGCACAAUGGGGGAAACCCUGAUGCAGCGACGCCGCGUGAGUGAAGAAGUAAUUCGUUAUGUAAAGCUCUAUCAGCAGGGAAGAAAAUGACGGUACCUGAGUAAGAAGCCCCGGCUAACUACGUGCCAGCAGCCGCGGUAAUACGUAGGGGGCAAGCGUUAUCCGGAUUUACUGGGGGGAAAGGGAGCGGAGACGGCAGUGCAAGUCUGGAGUGAAAGGCGGGGGCUAAACCCCCGGACUGCUCUGGAAACUGGACGGCUGGAGUGCAGGAGAGGUAAGUGGAAUUCCUAGUGUAGCGGUGAAAUGCGUAGAUAUUAGGAGGAACACCAGUGGCGAAGGCGGCUUACUGGACUGUAACUGACGUUGAGGCUCGAAAGCGUGGGGAGCAAACAGGAUUAGAUACCCCAGUAGUC
rnacentral:rRNA from 1 species